rnacentral:rRNA from 1 species
UGGGAAACAGGUUAAUAUUCCUGUACUUGGUGUUACUGCGAAGGGGGGACGGAGAAGGCUAUGUUGGCCGGGCGACGGUUGUCCCGGUUUAAGCGUGUAGGCUGGUUUUCCAGGCAAAUCCGGAAAAUCAAGGCUGAGGCGUGAUGACGAGGCACUACGGUGCUGAAGCAACAAAUGCCCUGCUUCCAGGAAAAGCCUCUAAGCAUCAGGUAACAUCAAAUCGUACCCCAAACCGACACAGGUGGUCAGGUAGAGA